ACGCUCGACACCUACGGGAGCAGCAGUGGGGGAUAUUGCACAAUGGGGGAAACCCUGAUGCAGCAACGCCGCGUGAAGGAAGAAGGUCUUCGGAUUGUAAACUUCUGUCCUCAGGGAAGAUAAUGACGGUACCUGAGGAGGAAGCUCCGGCUAACUACGUGCCAGCAGCCGCGGUAAUCUGAGCGGGCUGGCAAGGC
rnacentral:rRNA from 1 species